rnacentral:rRNA from 1 species
CACGUAGGGCGCGAGCGUUGUCCGGAAUUAUUGGGCGUAAAGAGCUCGUAGGUGGUUUGUCGCGUUGUUCGUGAAAUCUCACGGCUUAACUGUGAGCGUGCGGGCGAUACGGGCAGACUUGAGUACUGCAGGGGAGACUGGAAUUCCUGGUGUAGCGGUGGAAUGCGCAGAUAUCAGGAGGAACACCGGUGGCGAAGGCGGGUCUCUGGGCCGAUACUGACGCUGAGGAGCGAAAGCGUGGGGAGCAAACAGG